UCUAAUAUGGCAGAUUAGUGCAAAGGAUUUAAACUCCUGAUAUAAAGUUAAUUUAAACUUUUUUUUUUUAGAA
rnacentral:tRNA from 1 species